GUUUAAUUGAGAAAUAGGAUCUGGAUUGUAGAAAAUUCUAUGACAAUGGAUUAGGGCUUUAUUUUGGGAUUUGAUUUCAUAAGGUCGGAGCUGGAAUUGUAUUUUGGAAUGGAUAAGAAUGGAAUUGUGGCAGUAUUUUUAUCGGUUUUUAUUGUUGCCGAUGUUUCCAAUGCUUCAUUGCUGUCGACGUUUCGAAGAUUCGUAACCGUUGCUUCUACGGGUAGCUCUGGCACCAAUCAAAUUUCUCCAUCGCCAAGUCCAGAUCC
rnacentral:misc_RNA from 1 species